UACAGAGGUCCCAAGCGUUGUUCGGAUUCACUGGGCGUAAAGGGUGCGUAGGUGGUCGAGCAAGUCUGGUGUGAAAUCUUCAAGCUUAACUUGGAAACUGCAUCGGAAACUGCCCGACUCGAGGAUUGGAGGGGAGACUGGAAUUCUCGGUGUAGCAGUGAAAUGCGUAGAUAUCGAGAGGAACACCAGUGGCGAAGGCGAGUCUCUGGACAAUUCCUGACACUGAGGCACGAAAGCUAGGGGAGCAAACAGGAUUAGAUACCCUGGUAGUCCUAGCUGUAAACGGUGCACGUUUGCUGUAAUCGGAAUCGACCCCGAUUGUGGCGAAGCUAACGCGUUAAACGUGCCGCCUGGGGAGUACGGUCGCAAGAUUAAAACUCAAAGAAAUUGACGGGGGCCUGCACAAGCGGUGGAGUAUGUGGCUCAAUUCGAUGCAACGCGAAGAACCUUACCUGGCCUUGACAUGCACGUGGUAGAAGUGUGAAAGCAUAACGACCCCGCAAGGGGAGCGUGCACAGGUGCUGCAUGGCUGUCGUCAGCUCGUGUCGUGAGAUGUUGGGUUAAGUCCCGCAACGAGCGCAACCCCUGUGUCCUGUUGCCACCCGGUCGAGAGACUGGAGCACUCUGGACAGACUGCCUCGCUUAAACGAGGAGGAAGGUGGGGAUGACGUCAAGUCAGUAUGGCCCUUACGGCCAGGGCUGCACACGUACUACAAUGCCCGGCACAAAGGGAAGCAAGACCGCAAGGUGGAGCAAAUCCCCAAAAACCGGGCCCAGUUCAGAUUGUCGUCUGCAACUCGACGGCAUGAAGUUGGAAUCGCUAGUAAUGGCGCAUCAGCUACGGCGCCGUGAAUACGUUCCCAGGCCU
rnacentral:rRNA from 1 species